rnacentral:rRNA from 1 species
GAUCCUGGCUUAGGACGAACGCUGGCGGCGUGCCUAACACAUGCAAGUCGAGCGAUGAAGUUCUUCGGAACGGAUUAGCGGCGGACGGGUGAGUAACACGUGGGUAACCUGCCUUGUAGAGGGGGAUAGCCUUCCGAAAGGAAGAUUAAUACCGCAUAACAUCUUUUUAUCGCAUGGUAGAAAGAUCAAAGGAGCAAUCCGCUACAAGAUGGACCCGCGGCGCAUUAGCUAGUUGGUGAGGUAACGGCUCACCAAGGCGACGAUGCGUAGCCGACCUGAGAGGGUGAUCGGCCACAUUGGAACUGAGACACGGUCCAGACUCCUACGGGAGGCAGCAGUGGGGAAUAUUGCGCAAUGGGGGAAACCCUGACGCAGCAACGCCGCGUGAAUGAAGAAGGCCUUAGGGUUGUAAAGUUCUGUUUACGGGGACGAUAAUGACGGUACCCGUGGAGGAAGCCACGGCUAACUACGUGCCAGCAGCUGC